GACGAACGCUGGCGGCGUGCUUAACACAUGCAAGUCGAACGGAAAGGCCCUGCUUUUGUGGGGUGCUCGAGUGGCGAACGGGUGAGUAACACGUGAGUAACCUGCCCUUGACUUUGGGAUAACUUCAGGAAACUGGGGCUAAUACCGGAUAGGAGCUCCUGCUGCAUGGUGGGGGUUGGAAAGUUUCGGCGGUUGGGGAUGGACUCGCGGCUUAUCAGCUUGUUGGUGGGGUAGGGGCUUACCAAGGCUUUGACGGGUAGCCGGCCUGCGAGGGUGACCGGCCACAUUGGGACUGAGAUACGGCCCAGACGCCUACGGGAGGCAGCAGGGGGGAAUAUGGCACAAUGAGCGGGAGCCUGAGGCAGCAACGCCGCGUGCGGGAUGACGGCCUUCUGGUUGUAAACCGCUUUCGCCUGUGACGAAGCGGGAGUGACGGUAAUGGGUAAAGAAGCACCGGCUAACUACGUG
rnacentral:rRNA from 1 species